UACAGAGGUGCCGAGCGUUAGGCGGAAUCACUGGGCUUAAAGCGUGUGUAGGCGGAUGCCUAAGUACCUUGUGAAAUCCCACAGCUCAACUGUGGAACUGCUUGGUAUACUGGGUGUCUUGAGCCACUUAGGGGUUACCGGAACAAAUGGUGGAGCGGUGAAAUGCGUAGAUAUCAUUUGGAACGCCAAUGGUGAAGACAGGUAACUGGGAGUGUGCUGACGCUGAGACACGAAAGCCAGGGGAGCGAACGGG
rnacentral:rRNA from 1 species